CCUGGUUGGGGGAUGGGCAGUCAGGAGCAGCUCCUCUGGGGAAGACAGGCAGUAAACCCGGAAGCUAAAGAAGUAGCAGCUCAGAGGUGGAGUGGCGUUGGGAUGGGGCAUCAGCAUGUAGGAAGCCCUGUGGACAGGGAGUGAGUUAAGGGCAGGGAAACCGAAGCCCAGGCAGUAGGAGAGAGGAUGCAGGGGAAGGUGGAACCCUGUGAACCCCAGGAAUGAAGGCUUUGGGCUUUGUCCCAAAAUCCACUGGGAAACACCGAGGGCUGGCGUGAGACCUUGUACCCAAAGGACAAGGGGAAUGGUCACUGGACCAUGUGGAAGGGGAGUGGUCAUCGGACCCAAGCAGUGGUGGUGGUCAUGGGGUGGCCUCAGCAGGUGACUGCAGGUUUCCAGGCCAGAUGACAGCCACCUGGACCGAGCUGGCCCCCAGAUUAGAGACGGAAGAUUGAAGAGCCAUGGAGGGUCCAGGUCCGAAGUUCUCUGUGCUGGGGUGGAGUGGGGUGAAAGAGUACUGGGGUGAGUGGAAGGGCACUGAGGAGGUGGAAGGGCCAUGGGAUGGGUGGAAGGGCACUGGGGAGGUGGAAGGGCACUGGGGUAGGUGGAAGGGUGCUGGGGUGGGUGGAAGGGCACUGGGGAGGUGGAAGGGCACUGGGCUGGGUGGAAGGGUACUGGGGUGAGUGGAAGGGCACUGGGGAGGUGGAAGGGCACUAGGAUGGGUGGAAGGGCACUAGGAUGGGUGGAAGGGCACUGGGGAGGUGGAAGGGNNNNNNNNNNNNNNNNNNNNNNNNNUGGGUGGAAGGGUACUGGGGUGGGUGGAAGGCACUGGACAUGCAGAAGGAAUGCAUGGCUACUGUUUGUGCUGCCGGGAGCUGGGGUCCAGGAUGACUGUGUCCGCUGGAGCUGCCUGGUUCUGAGAACGCAGGGACUGCCUCUUGAGGGUCAGAGUCUCCCACAUCCCCUGUCUUCGUGACCUGCCUCCUCAGGAAGCCGAAUGUGCCACCAGAGCUGGUUGAUUCUCUGGAAGAGAAGUCACCAGGAACACUCCAGAAGGAAGAAAUGUCUAGUGUGUCCUAGAUCUCCACACCCUUCCAAAGACCCAGAGAUGGAGCAAUGCUGGAUAGACCCCACCUGCACACAGAGAAAGGCUGCUGGAGAGACGUCGUCAGAGCAGAGAGACAGUGGCCCUAAUCCCAGGACCCAGGCAACGUGUGGAGGGUGCAGGGUGGUGUGUGUGUGCUUUUAUCCCCAGCACCAGGACCUCAGGCCUGAGAGCUUCCCCUACCUGCCAUGGGAUCCUCGUAUUGAGCUGUUGCCUGAAGGUUUCAGCAUAAUGGCCAAUUGGUCAUUCAUCUUUAUCCCAAUCCAUCACCCCCACUGCUGGGGUCCCAGAGCCAUUCGCGUUGUUCUGAGGCAUUCAGGGCUUGCUAAGCUCCCCGUGGGCACAAGGCAGUUUCUCUGCAAGAACACUUCCCAACUUUGGCGACCUGACCCUCCUUGCUGGGGUGCAGGUAAAGGACAUGGCAGGUGCACUCCCUCUGUAACCCUCACUCAAAUGUGCCAAUCCGUGGGCUUAUAUGCCUUGACAUCUAAAGCACAGACAUGGUGCCUGGUCAUGAGCUGGGCCCUUUUUGGAGGGGAUCCAGAAGCAUUCGGAGCCAUCAGCAAAGCAUGGGGUCUCCCCCUCUGCAGGGCGCUGUCUGUGGAACUGCCUGUUUCCUCUGAUGAUAGGAUUCAGUCGCUCCAUAGAAACCUAGAUUUCUCCCUGUUGUCCUGAAGUGUGAGAAGCAAAGUCCUGUGUUCUAGACACAGAUACCUUCUGAAUUCUCCUCUCAUUGCUGGUCCACGUUCUGUGGCUUCGGCUGAGUAAUUCAACUCUCCAGGGACCUUGGUCACCCAUCAGUGAGAGCCACUGUGGGCAGAGAAGGGGAGCAGCAGGGCAAGCUGAGAAUGCAACCCCACAACACCACCCCAGUUACGUUGUUUCCUCGUAGGGCAUGUGGUUGAAGAGUGCUCGGGUUUUGACAUCUCAUAAAG
rnacentral:lncRNA from 1 species